rnacentral:rRNA from 1 species
GUGGGGAAUAUUGGACAAUGGGCGAAAGCCUGAUCCAGCCAUGCCGCGUGUGUGAAGAAGGUCUUCGGAUUGUAAAGCACUUUAAGUUGGGAGGAAGGGCAGUAAGUUAAUACCUUGCUGUUUUGACGUUACCAACAGAAUAAGCACCGGCUAACUUCGUGCCAGCAGCCGCGGUAAUACGAAGGGUGCAAGCGUUAAUCGGAAUUACUGGGCGUAAAGCGCGCGUAGGUGGUUCAGCAAGUUGAAGGUGAAAUCCCCGGGCUCGACAUGGGAACUGCCUCCAAAACUACUGAGCUAGAGUACGGUAGAGGGUAGUGGAAUUUCCUGUGUAGCGGUGAAAUGCGUAGAUAUAGGAAGGAACACCAGUGGCGAAGGCGACUACCUGGACUGAUACUGACACUGAGGUGCGAAAGCGUGGGGAGCAAACAGGAUUAGAAACCCGUGUAGUCC